CCUACGGGGGGCUGCAGUGGGGAAUAUUGGGCAAUGGGCGCAAGCCUGACCCAGCAACGCCGCGUGAGGGAAGAAGGUUUUCGGAUUGUAAACCUCUGUCGCAAGGGACGAAGAAGUGACGGUACCUUGUGAGGAAGCCCCGGCUAACUACGUGCCAGCAGCCGCGGUAAUACGUAGGGGGCGAGCGUUGUCCGGAAUUACUGGGCGUAAAGGGUGCGUAGGCGGUUGCUUAAGUUGGAUGUGAAAUACCCGGGCUUAACUUGGGGGGUGCAUUCAAAACUGGGCGACUAGAGUUCAGGAGAGGGAAGCGGAAUUCCUAGUGUAGCGGUGAAAUGCGUAGAUAUUAGGAGGAACACCAGUGGCGAAGGCGGCUUUCUGGACUGACACUGACGCUGAGGCACGAAAGCGUGGGGAGCAAACAGGAUUAGAUACCCGAGUAGUCG
rnacentral:rRNA from 1 species